AUUGAACGCUGGCGGCAUGCCUUACACAUGCAAGUCGAACGGCAGCGGACCUUCGGGUGCCGGCGAGUGGCGAACGGGUGAGUAAUAUAUCGGAACGUACCUUUCAGUGGGGGAUAACGUAGCGAAAGUUACGCUAAUACCGCAUAUUCUGUGAGCAGGAAAGCAGGGGAUCGCAAGACCUUGCGCUGAUUGAGCGGCCGAUAUCAGAUUAGCUAGUUGGUGAGGUAAAGGCUCACCAAGGCGACGAUCUGUAGCGGGUCUGAGAGGGUGAUCCGCCACACUGGAACUGAGACACGGUCCAGACUCCUACGGGAGGCAGCAGUGGGGAAUUUUGGACAAUGGGCGCAAGCCUGAUCCAGCCAUGCCGCGUGAGUGAAGAAGGCCUCGG
rnacentral:rRNA from 1 species